UCUGUUUGAAAGGGCUGGGCCCGGCUUGGAUGCCCAGACUCGAAAGUUCCCUGAACCAGGAGAACCAUGUGCGAAACCCAUCAAGGAGGGCACUGCAGGGAUGAAUUCUGUUGGAUCCCAGGGCUCUGGGGACUAUAUUUCCUGAACGCCAAUCGCCAGACCCCUCCAAACACAUAUGUCCUUCUGGGAGCACCAGACUGGAAUAUUUGAAACCAGAAGUCCAGAAAAUCCAGAACAGAUGUUUUCCCUGAAAAAGGCAGGCUCUGCGUCCCAGAGCCCUUGGGCCUCCCUGCCCCUGGCCAGUGUUGCUCCUGCGUUGGCCCUCUUAUGAGUGAGGGGGAUUACUCCUGACUUCACAUUCUCAGGAACAGAGAUCUCGCCUGUGCUUACGGACCAGCUAACGUGGAGACCGAAGGUGAACUGGACACAGCUGUUUCUGUUCUGGAAGCUGGGGACGGCUGGGGAGGCAUGUCAUCGUGGCCACCGGGGAAGGGGUAGGUGGUGACACGAUGACCUCAGAGAUGAGCCCAUUACUCUGGCCAGUUGGGCAUGGGGUGAAGAUGAGGGACAGCUGCUGUGGCCCCUGACUCUGAGCGGGUUGCCUGCCUGGGAGCCACCAUCCUUCUGAGGCAUCACUUCCAAGGCUUUUCAGCAACUGCAAUCCCUUAAGGAGAAUAAGCUCCUCAGAAACAAAGAAGGACUCUUCGUCGGUCAAGAGGAGUCUAGGGCAUCAGGGAAUCGCCUUUAGAGUCAGUCUGAGGUCUGGUUUCUGAGGGAUCCCCAGGUCAUGGAGCCCCUGUGUCACCUUUUAGGACUCGGUGGUCAGGUCAUGCUGGUGCCCAUGAGACAAGAUGCCCCUGACAAGUUCGUGUCUGCACAUUUUACACCCAGAGCCAUGCCUCACCCAAGUUCUUCCAACUUCAUGCUGAAAGUGUGUGGAGAGGAACCAUCUGCUUCAUUCCCCAAGCCCUGAGUUCCCUGGGUCGAGAAUGAGUGACCCCAAGCUCUCAGAGGAGGGUGGACCAGCUCCUGUCAGGGAGGCUGCAAAAGGCUGUGAGCUGAGAUCCACUAGGGACCUCAUGCUGCCCUCACCCCAGGACUGUGGCGGCUAAUGGGCCAGGGGGUGGUCUUGUGGUAGCUCGGUGCCAGAGAGGGGGGCGGGGGCUCCCUAAGUGUUUGCUGGGAGAGAGAUGGAGAGAAUGCAAGAGUGAGCGUCAGGGCCCCACACCGGGCAUCAGAGGGGCAACGAGAUACCGUGGGAGGGGUGACACUAGGGAUCUGAGAUUCUCUGUUAGCCUGGUGACCUUGAGUAGGCUAUUUCACCCUGUGGGGCCUCAGUUUUCAAAUCUGUAGAACAGGGAAGAAGAAAUGCUGUUGCCUCCCUCACUGGGCUGGACCAAUGUCAGUGAGUCUGGCUGGUGUGUGCAGGCAGCUGUGGUCCUUGAAGAGGGGCUUCUCCUUGGGGACUGGCAUUCAUGAGGUGUCCCCUGUCUCUAGCUCUGCCUCUCAGGUGAGGUGUGUGCGGGUGUCCACAGCCCAUCCGUCCUCAUCACGGGGCUAACACAUGCCCUUUCCAGGGCCAGGGCCAGGUCAGUUUUGAAGUCAUGAGGCUCUGACCUCACCGAACUUCUCCCUCCCUCGCUGUCCCUCCCACCUGUGCUGUGCUCCCUCGCACUGGGGUGUCUGUGGGACACCUCACCUUUGCCGACGCGCUUUCCUUCAACCAAACCCCAGGUUUCUCAGUUUCUAGGACUGGCCGUCCAGAGGACUGGGCAAUAUGGGCAUCAUGGUGGUAACACCGUAACCACCCCCCUCAGCUCCCGUGCCCACCCACAGCACUGUCUCUGCAGUGCCUCAAACGUAAGGUCUGCAUAAAGAAAACUAUUAGGGUCUCAUGACAGGGCCAAAGGGGCCAGAAAUUCCCUUACGCUUCAAACUAUUCAGGAGGCUUUGCCCUGGUGUCGGCUUUGCUGUUGUGCUUUCCCCUCCUUCACCCCCAUUGGAGCUUGUGGUGAGGACACCUACAGCACCCCCUCUCUCUGGACUCCUCCUCACACCCCCAUGCCCUCGGCACCCACACUGCUUGUCCCCCUGCAGGUCAGGGGGACAAGGGACCUGGACAGGUUCCUGCUCCCAGGUCUGGUAGGGUUUGGGGUUUGCAGCAUGACUAAGCUAUGUCACCAUUGACAAGGGGCUCGUAGGCUGGUUGGGGACGACAGACAGGCUUUAGAUCUGGCCUCAUUCUUGCAUCUGUAAAAUGGGUUUAGCUGGGUCCCUCAGUUGAGCAACACCAACCAUCCUGGGUGUUCCUCAGAUCCACUGAUGCCAGACCAUCCUGUGUCCCCAUUGGCAAGCGUCUACUGAGCACUUCCUACAUUCCCAGUACUGGCCUGGGUACUGGGGGGAUUUGCAGUGAACAAGGCUGUUUUCUCCAUGGGGUUUCUGGUCUAGUGGAGAAACAGAGGAAACCUAAAACUACAUAAAUUAUUAUAUGUAUUAAUGUGGCAAUAAUUACAUAAUUGUUAUCCUCACUUCCGUCCUGUGGCAUGCAAGGGUGCCGCUCCUUCGUGGGAAGCCCUGGGUCUGUCUUCUGUUCAUGAGCCCCAUUUGCUUAUUUCAAUGUGUUCAUGCAGCCCUUCUCCACCAGUGUUCCUCUUGGAAACCCCAGAACACAGAAAAAUGAUCUGAGUGACAAUUUUCUCAACUCUGCCAAGGAUCGUUCGUAACGAGGACCACUCUGGAUGCAGAGGAGAGAAGCAAAUCCACUACAUACCAUGGAUGCCUUAGGGCACUGGACUUUUUUUUUUUUUUCUCUCUGCUUUUUGUGACAUGUUCUUCCAUUUUUCAUCUUCUGAACAUUGGUUUCUCUCACUGCCUCUUCUGAAACUUUUAUUUUUUAAUCUCCCUUCUUGGAUUAUUUCUUCUAUCCUUUAUCCUCCAGAGCACAGAGGAAGAAAGAAACACAGCACAGUGGUGGGGUACUUUCAUUGGCGAUGGGUGAUGGUUUUUCUUGAUUUGAAGAUCUACACACAGAGGAGUGGCAUCUAAGAUAAAACAUGUUGCCAUCAGCAGCCAAACAGGACUUUUUUCAGGUUAACCUUUAAGAAGAAAAUAAAAGCCAUCGCCCCAUCCCCAGUGGUGGCUGACUUUGCUAAUAGAACAAGGUACUCCUGGAUGGCAGGGGAACCCGGGCAAAAUGGCAGCUGGGCAGAAGGAGGCGUUCUGGCUGAUGGUGGUGGGUUUCGCCGACUGAGUGUGGGAAUAAGAGGCUCCGGUCAUGAGCAGUAGCCCCUGGGGCCACUGCUGUGCCUUUUUCUCCUGACUCCUCUCUGGACCCCCGACUCCAUUUGGCAGGGGCAUAAACCCCAUUCAGUGUGG